rnacentral:rRNA from 1 species
GACGAACGCUGGCGGCGUGCUUAACACAUGCAAGUCGAACGAAGAGCGAUGGACGCUUGCUUCUAUCAAUCUUAGUGGCGAACGGGUGAGUAACGCGUAAUCAACCUGCCCUUCAGAGGGGGACAACAGUUGGAAACGACUGCUAAUACCGCAUACGAUCUGACCUCGGCAUCGAGGAUAGAUGAAAGGUGGCCUCUAUUUAUAAGCUAUCACUGAAGGAGGGGAUUGCGUCUGAUUAGCUAGUUGGAGGGGUAACGGCCCACCAAGGCGAUGAUCAGUAGCCGGUCUGAGAGGAUGAACGGCCACAGUGGGACUGAGACACGGCCCAGACUCCUACGGGAGGCAGCAGUGGGGAAUCUUCCGCAAUGGACGAAAGUCUGACGGAGCAACGCCGCGGGAGUGAUGACGGCCUUCGGGUUGUAAAGCUCUGUUAAUCGGGACGAAAGGCCUUCUUGCGAAUAGUUAGAAGGAUUGACGGUACCGGAAUAGAAAGCCACGGCUAACUACGUG